GUGCUCGCUUCUGCAGUACCUAUACUAAAACUCGAAUGAUACAUAGAAGAUUAGCAUGACCCCUGCUCAAGGAUGACAUGCAAAUUUGUGAAGCAUUCCAUAUUUUA
ensembl:snRNA U6 U6 spliceosomal RNA